UUUUGUUUCAGCUGUUUCCUUUUGAGUUUUGUCCUGUCAUUGGAGGAGCUGGCGAAGAGCACUGCGGCGCACGAGUGAGUUUCCUGUUUGCUGUGACUGCACCUGUUUGCCUGGUUCCCAUCGUCCUGCACAUCCGUGGUGUCCCAAAACCUCCUUCCGCUGUUGGAGCUGAGUGCCGGUCAUUUGGGGGGGCUAGUCCCCUCACUGUUUGCUAAGAGCACCAGA